UACGUAGGCAGCGAGCGUUGUUCGGAAUUACUGGGCGUAAAGAGUGUGUAGGCGGUGCUCUAAGUUCGGUGUGAAAUCUCCCGGCUUAACUGGGAGGGUGCGCCGGAAACUGGAGUGCUCGAGCGUGGGAGAGGAAAGCGGAAUUCCUGGUGUAGCGGUGAAAUGCGUAGAUAUCAGGAGGAACACCUGCGGUGUAGACGGCUUCUGGACCAUUGCUGACGCUGAGACACGAAAGCGUGGUAGCAAACAGG
rnacentral:rRNA from 1 species